GUAAAAGGUUCAUUUGUUAACAUGUUUGGUUAAAACAUACAGAAUUUGUCUUAUCACUGUUAUCAGAAUCUGAUAUACAAUGAAAGAAUGCAGACUUUCGGUUUCAACACUUGGAGGUAUUUACUCUCAGAUGACUAAAAAAAUUGCAAAGUAAACCUGCUCCCUAACGACCCUCCAGUUUAACGGGGGUUCAACUUCUCGCCCGUUUGGAAUUGAGUUCAUUAUUAUUUUAUUUGUGUUUUGUGAAUGUGUCUAUCGAAUUUUGAUACGAAUCAUUAUAAUAAUAUCACAUCUAUUAAUCUUAUAGAUAUUGUAUUAUUUAUAUUACGUUUAUAAUAUUUACAGUGUUUAACUCAGUUUCUAAGUGAUUGUGGAAGGAAUGUUGCACAUUUCUAAACAUAACCCCAACAGUACCACGUAAGAAUUGAUAUGUUUGAAUUCUCUGUAUUCGUUUAGUUGGUCAACCAAUUCUUUUAAUUUUCCAGUUCUUACGUAAUGCUGUUGAGGUUGCGCUACCUUCCACAAUUAAAUGGAAAUUGGGUUGAACAUUUGAAAAAUUAUAAUUCUAAUAUAAAUAUACAGUGUUAUAAAUUGAGUAAUAUAAUAAUUCACUGUUAAUCAUAGCAGGAGCAAGAUUCCAUAGAUUUAUUCACACAUUAUUCACAAAUAAAACCACUAAUGUCUUUUCGCAACCGUUAUGAAUUACCUUCUAAAAGCCUCAAGUCCCAGAGCGGUUCAUCAGUCUUUUCUAGUUAACCGAUUGGGUAGCAAGCAGGUACUCUGACCUCUAUGGCCGAGAGAUGAGGCACGAUUAAAUGGUAGUUCUUUUAUCCGUGUAGUAGAAUAAACAAACCAUUCAAAUGGUUUAUUUGUUCUACUACUAGUUCAGAUUUUAAAGAAUUUUACCAUUUUUUCAAAUGCUAUUCACCUUCGUAAACCUUCAUCGUACCGAGCUGCAUAGUGUAGGACGGUUUCACCAUUCGCUGAUGCAACAUUGACGUUUGUUGGCAUCAAUAUUGUUUUCUUUCGCUCUUCGUGUUGGUGUGCAAUAGCCACCAUUAACGGAGUUUCACCGAAAUGGUUGUACUCCGUCAAUUCGCAAUUGUGGUGUUUUAAUAUCUUUAUUAGCAGCAUGCCGUUCUCUGCUGCUGCUAUGUGCGAUUGUUUUUCCGUUUUGUAUUAUCUCUGGGUGUGCCCCGAAAGAUAAUAGCAAAUCUGUCAGAUCGCGGCUGUUUUUUCGUACUUCUUCCCGUUUUAAAAUUUUUCGUUCAUGAGUGAGGCCACUUGUUGUCUUGGCCAACUUUCCCGAACUUUUAUCUUGCGGAGUAUACACUGCCUUACAAUUUCCGCUGUGUCCCUAUCAUACUUAAAGAAACUCUACCUUUCUUUAACUUCAUUAUGGGAUUUCUCCAACUUCCUAUCCUUCCUGCUCUCGCUGCCAAUACUGAAGCGAUGGCCUUCAUUCUGCAGUUGUUGCAUUUUUCCGUUUCGCGCCAGGUUCUGAGUAAUUUCUUUCCACUUCACUUGGCAAGUCACAUACUAAAAAAUUGUCAUCGUCGAAGUCACUGUAAUACUGCAGCCCCAAGUAAUAACUCUCAUUUGCACUUGCUCCGCUUGCAUGCGAGUCCAAUUCCCGAUGUGAGUGAUUAUUUCCCUCUUUACUUUCCGUGUCACUGAUUGUGAUCAACUCGUACUGUCGCUCUCUUUUCGGCACUUAUAGGAUGAUCGUCACUUUCUCUUCUUCGGUGUGGAUUUUGGAUGCACUUGACAUUUCUUUUUCUUUUUGAUAACUUGUUGAGAAUUUUUGGAACACUGUAGAAUUUAGGCGAUUGAAGCACUGGGAAGAGCCUUGGUUUUACAAUUUGCUUAAAUGCUGUUAAGUAUAAAGAGCUUUCUACGGGAUUCUUCUCUUAACAUGACCCAUUUUGUUUUGACUUUCCAUUAUCAAGUUAGGUUAUUGUAUCUUCUCUUUUUCGUUUGUUUGUUUAUGUUUUUUAUUUCUUGUUUUGUUUGGUACUCUCGUUUCGAAUGUGCAACGGCAUAGGUCUUCCCAUACAACGCCAUAUCCGACCACAUAAGUACAACUGGUGUGCUUUCCAGUGGUCCAAAAAAUAUUCUCGGAGGCAAUUGGGGUUUUGGUUGGUUGUCUUGGUCUUGCAGUACGGUUGUCUAGGUAUAUGGUGUUCUCUUUGCGAGUAUUCUCUGGUGUAUGAUGAUCAAACGGCACUCGCCUACCUUGAUGGUGUUCCUCGGUCUGGUAGGGUUUGAAGACUCGUUGAGGAAGUGUAAAGCACAACACUGAAAAAACUACGGGAAGCAACUUGUGCUGGUAGCAAUUGUUGGUCUCGUUGGGACGUCCAAUAGUAAAAGUUUCCUUUUUACCCGUGUAUUACAGUGAGUUGCUGAGACAACUCUGAAAUACAUGUUACAAUCAUGCGA